GACGAACGCUGGCGGCGUGCCUAAUACAUGCAAGUAGAACGCUGAAGAGAGGAGCUUGCUCUUCUUGGAUGAGUUGCGAACGGGUGAGUAACGCGUAGGUAACCUGCCUUGUAGCGGGGGAUAACUAUUGGAAACGAUAGCUAAUACCGCAUAACAAUGGAUGACACAUGGCAUUUAUUUGAAAGGGGCAAUUGCUCCACUACAAGAUGGACCUGCGUUUUAUUAGCUAGUAGGUGAGGUAAUGGCUCACCUAGGCGACGAUACAUUGCCGACCUGGGAGGGUGAUCGGCCACACUGGGACUGAGACACGGCCCAGACUCCUACGGGAGGCAGCAGGAGGGGAUCUUCGGCAAUGGGGGCAACCCUGACCGGGCAACGCCGCGUGAGUGAAGAAGGUUUUCGGAUCGUAAAGCUCUGUUGUAAGUCAAGAACGGGUGUGGGAGUGGAAAGUUCACACUGUGACGGUAGCUUACCAGAAAGGGACGGCUAACUACGUG
rnacentral:rRNA from 1 species